UGAGUUUAAGAGCACCGGAACAAAUGUGACCGCCUUGCACCUUGUGAACCAGGAACCAUGGACUACUCAUGACGUCACAGGCCAAUUGGCGCCACCCCAAACGUUACAGAAUGAAUCAUAUUAUGAGACCCAGCACGUGAACCCGUCAAAAAUGCUGACGGAGGCGGCGCUGAUGUUUGACGCCGUGCUAGUGCUGGCUCGUGCGCUGCGUCAGCUCGGCUCGGCGCUGCGCGUGCGGCCUCUGAGCUGUGACCGGGAGAAGGGCUGGCAGCAAGGAACCUCGCUGGUCAAC